AAUUGCUCCGCCCAAAGCCCGUGACGCACGCCGAAAUUUGCGGCCGUCUGCCCGUGCUAUGAUUUCUGGAUAUGAUGCAUUGAUGCUAGAUGGUGCCAUAGUUUGUUUUCUUUACUCUUCAUUGUUUUUGGAUCAUGGUGUGCUCAUGUUGAUUUGCAGCCCAGUUGAUAGUCCGUACGACGGAGGUUAGUUGGUCUAACUAUAUUUACUAGCUAUUUUAAUUAAUAACGUUAUAGAAUCUUUGCUGAACUCCCUUUGUGAUGGUUCUUCUUGAAGUGAAGAAUUGACGUCUAGACUGGCAUAAUUCAGUUCCUGGAUGAAAAAAUUUACAUGUCCUUUUAGUCUGAAAAUCAUAGUGGGCCUUGGAGCAUGAUGCAGAAAAUUGUAGGUAUGCCCUGCACUUCCCAUACAUGAAGGCAAAUGAUUUCUUUUUGGAUACCACUGUCGUCCGGCACAUGGUGUUUAUCAAUGAGUAAAUGGUACAAAGUUCGAAUUAUCAGUUUACGUUCGUCCUGAUGGAUCGAUAGCUUCGUCGCGGUCAUCAGGAGAAAUAUCACCAAUCUAGCGGACGGCCAAACCGAGCGGUCGAUACAGGAAACUAGCCUCUGCCAUUCCCCAUCUCUGUAUUUGUGUUAGGCCCAGCUCAAUGUAGAGGAAGAGGAGGAGGCCAGAAAGAAUGAAGCUACAAGGCAGAAGGCUUUUAAUCUGAAGGCAUGGUUCAGUAAGUUGGACGAGAUGCUGACAAACUAUUCUGAAUUUCCACUUGAAAAGAUGCAUCAGAUCGUAGAGUAUGUUGGCUAUGUCUCUCGGUGUGUACUGAACAACUCUUUUCUUAUUACAUCUUGGUUGUUGGCAUUGGUGGUGUUCUCUUCUGGUUCAGCAGAAAGUUGUUGAAGUGAAAGAUGAAGAGGAACCUGUGGAAGAGCUAAAGACAGGAUCGGACGUGGUAGAAAGAAGAAAGCAAAGCCUAAAUGGUAUAAUGAUGUGAAUUCAGAUUUCAUAUGUUAUCUUCCCUGCUUCAUGAAUAUGAUAGCAUGGUUGUCAUCCAGAUAAUGCACGCGCCUUUAUUUGUCAUAUACUACCAAUGCACUGUAGUUUGAUGUGUAAUUUGUAUUAACUGCUCAAUGGGCAUUCCUUGAAUAAUUAGAGGGAGACUGCUUGAUAUCUUACUGUUUCAAACAAUUCUGAUGAAGCGCUCAACCUGUGAUUGAGUACUGCCACGCUCAGCCACGCGUCCAGGAUGCGGAAGCUGUGACGCUUGCUGGAAAGCUGGUCAAGUAGGCCCCGACUGUGAGUGUUAGCUGAUUGAUACUGCACAUCACACUAUUUCCAAGAAACAAGUCGAUUUGCAACAAUUUCCAAUCAUUAGUUGGACAUUUGUCGACGAAAAUAAAUGAUGCUUUCUAUAUUGAGUUUGUAUAUACGACCUCACCACUGUUUGGCUGCCUUAUGAGAUCCAAUUUAUAUUUUUCAGUUUCUACACCAAAGUGCUUCAUUUAUAUGUAUUACUGUAGAGACACGGGAAAUUGUUGUUGCUCAUGCAACCCUAAACUUCAGUUAAAUGUUUGUAAUUUCACUAUCGUUUUUUUUCUGGAUUGUACUACUUUUCAGGUUUCGGUGUCUAAAUCUUCAGUACAAAACAGUGUCUGAGAGUAUAUGCCAUUAAGAGGAUUAUUGCCGCCAAUAUAAACUUUUUGCUUUGUCCCUCAAAAUUUCCAGUUUUCUUCUAGAGUUGAACGUGUUGUUGGUAGUUUGCCUUCAUAGAGUUUUCGUAGCAACUGUGACAGAAUAUAUUGUUAUCAAAUCCGUAACUAUUUAUAACCACAAUAGUAAAUUCCACCAAGAGCUCGAGCGAGCAGACUGUCACUGGGCCAUAUAUCCUCAUUUUGCUCCAUCAAGUUUCAUUGGAUAUUUCUCUCAAUUUAACUGAGAAGAAAACAAACAUCUACUGAGUAUUUCAAUUUUCUAGAAGUAAUAAAAUUAGUGGGAAGCUUAGAAAAUUUGCUUUUGCUGUCUUUGUACAUUCAUGUCAUAAUGUCACUUUCAUCAUGGAUAAUCUCUAUCCAUCUUUCCAGUGAAAUAAUGUGUUUUGAAGUACAAGUGACUAAACCAUGGUGAUUGUUUUUUGCUUGAGCAAUGAGAAGUCACCAAGAUCCACAUUAGAUGUAACAAUUUAUAUUAUAUGUAGCUUUCUUGCUUAUCGAUUAUAUACGAAAAUGUAGUUUUCCAUGCCAGUCAUUUCAUUUCUUUACCCGUGCUUUGGCCUGUCGUUGCUGGGUUCCCAAGUUGAUUUGUUUUAUUUUAUUCUUGCAGAUGUAGAGUAUGAUUUCCCUGAUGUUUUGUAAACUGGUUUCAAGCACGUUGUGCAGGAUUUAGCUAUACAUUUUGGUGUAAGGUGGGAUCACUAACUUGUGUUCUUCGCUGAGCAUUGAAAACCUGGGAAUUUUUGACUGUGCUAACUUAAACUAUGGUAUUCAUGGAGAACAUCCCUGUGACAGCACCAUACCACAUUUCUUUCAUAGUGGGGUUACAUCUGAGGGCUGAGGCAACAGAUAUUUAUUCUCUCUCUAGAUGUUGUAUCAGGAAGAAGCUUACUAACCAGGAUCAAAAGAAAACAUCAGUCACGCCUAAUUGUGAAGAAGAGUACGCCAAUAGAGUUAUUUGGGUUGUAUAAGAAGAAUACCGGCCACUUCAGGUUGAGGCUAGACAACUGUUGCUUAACUGGGUUCAAGUUAGCUCAGUUUUUCCGACAAGAUUUAUUUUUUUCGUCUGGUGUUUAUUCUUGAGACAUUUUAUAUAAUUAUAAAUACCAAGCAAGCAGUCCCUUUGAUCA